CCCGAAAGUGAAGAGACCUCCACCUCCGGGGUCGAUCGAGGGUCGUCAGUCGGCUCUCCCGACCGACCUCCUCGUGGGGAUGUCCUAGCCAUGGACUAAAACAAAAGACAGAAAAUGAAGAAGAAGGAGCAGACUGCGAGAAGGCAAGGGAGAAGACCGCGAAGACGGUGAUGGCCCUCAGAAGAAAAAGAGAGAACUCCUAAGAAGAAGGAAAGCGGAGUACCUGGAAUAGGGGACUACGCGGGCAGAGUCUCGACAGCAG
rnacentral:lncRNA from 1 species